AACGCGUAUAGAACCUACCUUUUACAGAGGGAUAGCCCAGAGAAAUUUGGAUUAAUACCUCAUGGUAUUGUUAGAUGGCAUCAUUUGACAAUUAAACAUUUAUGGGUAAAAGAUGGCUAUGCGUUCUAUUAGUUAGUUGGUAAGGUAACGGCUUACCAAGACAUCGAUAGAUAGGGGUCCUGAGAGGGAGACCCCCCACACUGGUACUGAGACACGGACCAGACUCCUACGGGAGGCAGCAGUGAGGAAUAUUGGACAAUGGAGGCAACUCUGAUCCAGCCAUGCCGCGUGAAGGAUGACUGCCCUAUGGGUUGUAAACUUCUUUUAUAUAGGAAGAAACCGUUUCUUGCGAGAAACCUUGACGGUACUAUAUGAAUAAGCACCGGCUAACUCCGUGCCAGCAGCCGCGGUAAUACGGAGGGUGCAAGCGUUAUCCGGAAUCAUUGGGUUUAAAGGGUCCGUAGGCGGACUGAUAAGUCAGAGGUGAAAUCCCACAGCUCAACUGUGGAACUGCCUUUGAUACUGUCAGUCUUGAGUCAUUUGGAAGUAGAUAGAAUGUGUAGUGUAGCGGUGAAAUGCAUAGAUAUUACACAGAAUACCGAUU
rnacentral:rRNA from 1 species